rnacentral:sRNA from 1 species
GCUGGGUUUGAUGGCUCAUGUCUGUAAUCCCAGCUAUUUGGGAGGCUGAGGCAGGAGAAUUGCAAGUUCAAGGCAAGUUUGAGGCCAGCCUUGGCAUCUUAAGGAGACCUGCCUCAA